UCAGAUACGACAUUGCUCACAUUGCUUCUAGUAUUUGUUGCCCGCUGACCGCGGGCUUUUUUUU
rfam:Bacteria symbiont BFo2 of Frankliniella occidentalis strain BFo2 contig021, whole genome shotgun sequence.